UAACGCGUGAGUAACCUGCCUUACACAAGGGGAUAGCCUCUGGAAACGGAGAAUAAUACCCUAUGAUAUUAAUACUUCGCAUGAAGCAUUAAUCAAAGUGUUAGCGGUGUAAGAUGGACUUGCGUCUGAUUAGCUAGUUGGUGAGAUAACAGCCCACCAAGGCAACGAUCAGUAGCCGGCUUGAGAGAGUGUACGGCCACAUUGGGACUGAGACACGGCCCAG
rnacentral:rRNA from 2 species